rnacentral:misc_RNA from 1 species
CAGAAUAUUAUGUACUACACUGCUUUCUCUGCGAUGUGUAUUUUUGAACAGAGGGUACAUAAUACAUGAAGUUAUUUUCUUAUCACAAAAAAGGGGAUUUUCAAAAAGAACAAAAUUUUACACUACAUUUCAUUGUUUGCCUGCUUAAUCUGUGGAUUUUGGCAAGGAGGACCCUGGGGACAGUUGUCCUCUCCGGUAUGCACCCUUGUUAACUGAUGGAUCUUUGUGAAUGAGUGGUUCAGAAUCCCGGGAAAAAACAUGAGGAAUAAUCCCAGCAAUUGCCUGUCUUUCUCUAUAGGACGCCCAAGUUACCAAAUAAAGACCAGCAACGAUGAGGCAUCCCCCCAAUAUGCUUCCCAAAUAAAUGGGGCUUCCAAGAAAAAUUCUUGACAGUAAGGCAGAAGCUGCAGGUUGAAGUGGAUUGUAAAGUGCAACCAAAGCAGGCCCCAAGAUCUUAUUGGACCAUGUAAGGAGUCCAUAAUUAAGAGCAGAAUUUACAAUUCCAGCAUAAAUGACUGCCCAAAGCUCAGAUUGCGUCAGACUCCACUCUGUUGUUCCAUUGGUCAUAAAGAAAGCUGUCAGUACCAUCAAGAGAGCUCCAAAUGCAUAUGAAUAUGCAGUGAUUGAAAUGCUGGCAGGAUAUUUUGUAAAAAGUGGAGCCUGAAUGGCCAGAAAAGCAGCCAUGCACAUACAAUUCCCAAUUAAGCAUAAAACUCCAAGGUGCCAACCUUCCAGUCCUAUGUUUAGUAAGCUAGAGAAAAACCAUCCAACAGGCUCUGGUUGACCCUUGGCACUUAUUUCGCUAGCUGCAGAGCCUACAUGACUGUAUCCAAUGACAGCUGGACCUCGGAACAGAACCAUCAAUAUUGCAC